rnacentral:tRNA from 1 species
GCCAGGUUGGCCGAGCGGUCUAAGGCGCCAGAUUUAAGCCCUGGUUCUCGUGAGAGAGCGUGGGUUCGAACCCCACACCUGGCA